UAGACCAUCUCCAACGGGAGUGCGUUGAUGGUCCUUAGCUCUACAUCCAAUGUUUAUCAGAUUAAAAAACUAUUAUUUGAGCGACAUAAUACUUAGUUACCUAAGGAUUGAUCCUUAAAUAAGGAAUUUAAGGAUCAAAUCCUUGUCUACGUGGCAGCUUGGCUUUCUGAUUGAUUUCUGUCCGUCUCCUUCUUCGUUUCCUUUUCUCUGAUUUUAUGCUAGAUUUGUAGCUCUCUUAUUGAUUUCUGUGUGGAUCGAGCAGUGAUAUCUAGGAAGAUCGAAUUCUCUCGACCGCCUCCUCGAAGAUUAGAAAAAAUAGAAACUCUGAUUACGAUCUUCUCACUCGUCGUUGAGAUGGAUAGUAACGCUUGGAGGAGGAAACUCACUUGCCUUUUUUUUCUGCCAAAGUUGCUGCUUUACAUACCUGGAAGCUUACUCUGCUUCGCCACCAAGGAUUGAUAUCCUUUCAUUUGUUGCCAACAUUUUGAGAUCAGUUUGCUAUCUUUGCCUCAAGAAACUAAUGGGUUUUGCUAAGUUUCAAGAUCGUGGUGUUUCUUAUGCCAAUUGCUAUAUGGUUCCUCCAACCAACCAGCUAUAUUAUCUUCUGCCAUGAUUUCAAAAGUGAGUUAUUGAGAAAAAAAAACUAAUUAUAAUUUUCAGAGCUCACCUUGUCUCUGUAGUGUUCAUCACAGCCAUGAGUAAUUACUUUAAAACUUAAUUUGAAUCCAUUGGCCCCAUGAAGUGAUAGUCACUGGCUUGUUAUUGUUUUA